rnacentral:lncRNA from 1 species
AGAGAAUAAGUUCUUGGGGAGUAUUUAUAUGCCCUAGGUCUUGUAGCUCUCAAAAAUACCCAAAAUCGCUAAAAAAACGAAUUUUGGGCGGAAAUACGGCGACUCGCGCGGCCACGUCGCGCGGCCGCAUGGCUGGCCCGCGUGACGAAACAGAACUCCUGACAGCUUUGCGCAGUGAUUUUGUUUUGGCUCGUUCUCUCUCGUCCGAACUCCGAUUUAUGAUCCGUUUGCGCUCACGAACUCCUCUCGAGACGAACUACAACUUGUAUUUCAGCCAAUUCUUCCAAAUUCUGCUUCAUUAUUUCUGAAAAUUCGUUCAAACACAAGCAAGUAACAAGUUCUUGA